UACGGGGGGGGUAAGCGUUGUUCGGAAUUACUGGGCGUAAAGGGCUCGUAGGCGGCCAACUAAGUCAGACGUGAAAUCCCUCAGCUUAACUGGGGAACUGCGUCUGAUACUGGAUGGCUUGAUUUGGGAGAGGGAUGCGGAAUUCCAGGUGUAGCGGUGAAAUGCGUAGAUAUCUGGAGGAACACCGGUGGCGAAGGCGGCAUCCUGGACCA
rnacentral:rRNA from 1 species